UACGUAGGUGGCGAGCGUUGUCCGGAAUUACUGGGUGUAAAGGGUGUGUAGGCGGGCUGAGAAGUCAGAUGUCAAAACUAUGGGCUUAACCCAUAAGCGCAUCAGAAACUCUCGGUCUUGAGUGUGGGAGAGGUAAGCGGAAUUCCCAGUGUAGCGGUAAAAUGCGUAGAUAUUGGGAGGAACACCAGUGGCGAAGGCGGCUUACUGGACCACAACUGACGCUGAGACACGAAAGCGUGGGGAGCAAACAGG
rnacentral:rRNA from 1 species